rnacentral:rRNA from 1 species
GAUGAACGCUGGCGGCGUGCUUAACACAUGCAAGUCGAGCGAAGCGAUUUAAGUGAAGUUUUCGGAUGGAUCUUAAAUUGACUGAGCGGCGGACGGGUGAGUAACGCGUGGAUAACCUGCCUCACACAGGGGGAUAACAGUUAGAAAUGACUGCUAAUACCGCAUAAGCGCACGGUACCGCAUGGUACAGUGUGAAAAACUCCGGUGGUGUGAGAUGGAUCCGCGUCUGAUUAGGUAGUUGGUGAGGUAACGGCCCACCAAGCCGACGAUCAGUAGCCGACCUGAGAGGGUGACCGGCCACAUUGGGACUGAGACACGGCCCAAACUCCUACGGAGGCAGCAGUGGGGGAAUAUUGCACAAUGGGCG